AAGGGGACUUUGAGUUAAUGUUGAGUGUCAAGCCUUACAAUCCAAUAUAGAAAGCUAUCGUAUACAAAUAAUGUAAUAUUAUUGUAUUUAUAUAUUGAUUUAAAAUGUAAAGUAAAAUUCAGAAGACUUAAACAAAGUCCUAAAAUCAAUCAAACAACUAAAUUAGAGCAAGUAGAGCUGGUUUAUUUACCAAAACACAAUAUAAUCAUCUUCAUUAAAGUAUUUUGUAUAUUCGAAUUAAUUUACAAAUGUAAGUGUUUAAAAAUUAGAGAUAGGUUUUGCCGGUUGUUGAUGAGUGAUGAAUACCAGCUGUGAAUUUUCUCAACGCGUGUAAGCAGCCACGACACAGGAAACCGAAACAGUGUUCCAAUAUAAAGUGAGGGUCCUUGACAGUGGCCGAACCCGCAUACUACACGAUAUAAUGGUUCCCCACCUCGGGAGCUAUAGGGAACGAAUUGAGACACAGCCCUGGAUGUAAUCACGUCUGUGCUGAUGAUCACGUGCCUGUACACAAACCUGCAGCUCACUUGCAAAAGAUUAUCCUGUUAUUUAUUACACGUAUAGUAAACGUUUUUAAUGUUAUCAUGAAUCAAUGUUAUAGUUUUGUAUGUCACAUUAUUUUUUAAGAAGAGUCAUAACUCAACGCGGACCUUACACGCUGUUAAUUUGUGUGUGCGUAUGGCGGUACAGUGCGCUCUGACUUUUGCACUCUAUGACCAGCCAUCAGUAAAUCGAAAUACAGUAAAAAAAAUGAGCGCGAAACCCUGACACUUUACAGAAAGGCACGGAUCCCCGCCCGAAGAAAAAAAGAGCACAGGACAAUGGUUGCAAGUUAAACAGCUGAACAUUUCACCAUCUGCAAAGAACAUUUCACCAUCGACAUAUUAACAUAAACGGUUCUCUUUUUCGUGUUUGACUGCGUUUGGUAAAGGUCACAACAACAACGGCAGAUGUAGAGACCACGCUUUCCCUUGCUUCCACUCCACGGCUGAUCAUGCUUGGUCACAACAACAACGGCAGAUGUAGAGACCACGCUUUCCCUUGCUUCCACUCCACGGCUGAUCAUGCUUGAGGAUCCAGAUCUACAAAACAAAAAAUGGAUGCUGCCGAUUGAAGGCUAAGUCCGCUUUCCAGCGAUUGACCUACCAUUUCUUCAGCAUUUGCUGUUCACUUUGGUUGCUACUACGUGCUCAACAUCGAGUACCAAGUGGAAGCAACCACUACUUUG